ACUCCUACGGGAGGCAGCAGUGGGGAAUCUUGGACAAUGGGGGCAACCCUGAUCCAGCCAUGCCGCGUGAGUGAAGAAGGCCUUAGGGUCGUAAAGCUCUUUCGCCUGUGAAGAUAAUGACGGUAGCAGGUAAAGAAACCCCGGCUAACUCCGUGCCAGCAGCCGCGGUAAUACGGAGGGGGUUAGCGUUUGUUUCGGAAUUUACUGGGCGUAAAGCGCGCGUAGGCGGACCAGAAAGUUGGGGUGAAAUCCCGGGGCUCAACCCCGGAACUGCCUCCAAAAACUCCUGGUCUUGAGUUCGAGAGAGGUGAGUGGAAUUCCGAGUGUAGAGGUGAAAUUCGUAGAUAUUCGGAGGAACACCAGUGGCGAAGGCGGCUCACUGGCUCGAUACUGACGCUGAGGUGCGAAAGUGUGGGAGCAAACAGGAUUAGAUACCCUGGUAGGACAGUG
rnacentral:rRNA from 1 species